ACAUAGGCUCUAAGUUAAAUAAACAAUCAUGCAUAUAAGAGCCACUAAACAUUUUCAAUAUAGUCUUCU
rfam:Triticum aestivum genome assembly, contig: Triticum_aestivum_CS42_TGACv1_scaffold_593564_7BS